UCUUCCGUAGUAUAGUGGUCAGUAUAUGAGCUUGUCAACUUCACAGCAGACUCCGCUCGGGACCCGGGUUCAAUUCCCGGCGGGAGAG
rnacentral:tRNA from 1 species